rnacentral:rRNA from 1 species
AUACGGAGGGUGCAAGCGUUGUUCGGAAUCACUGGGCGUAAAGGGCGCGCAGGCGGUUUGGUAAGUCAGAUGUGAAAGCCCACGGCUCAACCGUGGAAGUGCAUUUGAAACUGUCAGACUUGAGUACUAGAGGGGAAAGUGGAAUUCCCGGUGUAGAGGUGAAAUACGUAGAUAUCGGGAGGAAUACCGGUGGCGAAGGCGACUUUCUGCCUAGAUACUGACGCUGAGGCGCGAAAGCGUGGGGAGCAAACAGGAUUAGAAACCCUAGUAGUCC